rnacentral:snRNA from 1 species
AUCACUUCUUGGCCUUUUGGCUAAGAUCAAGUGUAGUAUCUGUUCUUAUCAGUUUAAUGCCUGAUACAUCCUCUAUCCAAAGGCUCGUGUAAAAGAUCUUUAGGAACAACAGUGGCAAUGAGGAAAUCAAAAACUGUUACCAGCUGUAUACUGAUUCCAUCUAAU